ACUCCUACGGGAGGCAGCAGUGGGGAAUAUUGCACAAUGGGCGCAAGCCUGAUGCAGCCAUGCCGCGUGUGUGAAGAAGGCCUUCGGGUUGUAAAGCACUUUCAGUCGUGAGGAAGGUAGUGUAGUUAAUAGCUGCAGUAUUUGACGUUAGCGACAGAAGAAGCACCGGCUAACUCCGUGCCAGCAGCCGCGGUAAUACGGAGGGGUGCGAGCGUUAAUCGGAAUUACUGGGCGUAAAGCGCAUGCAGGUGGUUUGUUAAGUCAGAUGUGAAAGCCCGGGGCUCAACCUCGGAAUAGCAUUUGAAACUGGCAGACUAGAGUACUGUAGAGGGGGUAGAAUUUCAGGUGUAGCGGUGAAAUGCGUAGAGAUCUGAAGGAAUACCGGUGGCGAAGGCGGCCCCCUGGACAGAUACUGACACUCAGAUGCGAAAGCGUGGGGAGC
rnacentral:rRNA from 1 species